UUUGUCCUGAAAUAAUGUAGGUUGCCCUCAUAUCUCGAGAAGAUAUUGUUGUGAAAUGUAGUGCAGAUGCUUGCAAAAAAAGAUUAGAAACAAUGGAUAGUUAAGAGGGCUAAGUUGCUGAAAUAUUAACACCUGACUGAAAAAUGAAUGCAACCAACUUUAGCAUUCGUAAGGAAGGAGAAGCAAGCUUGGCUCAAGGAUUUUAACUAUGAUGUAUUUUGCCCUGGGAACAGGCAAUACGAGCAUUUCAAUAAGGUUGCAGUGGUGGUGAAUGACCUACUACUAAAGCCGGGUAAGCAAUUCAUUUUAUAUUAUUUUCCAAGUAAUUUUGGAGAAAACAGAACAAGUGCAUUACUCCGUGUGGGAACAAUUUGUUGCAGCUGAAUGCAACUAUAUUUUCCUAUUAUAGCAGUUUCUAAAGCUGGACGCUUCUUGCCACAUUAAAAGUUAGGUUUUGACAACUUUAAUUAAAAUAUAAUUUGUUUCUAUUACCUCGGAAAAACCAUCUUUGCAAUGGUAAGGAUAGCUGUAACUUGUAACUGGUCGGUCAGGCGGGGUAGGGAUCGAUUAAUACAUCAAGUUCAUGUAGUGCUCAAGAUUUUAAUCUUUUUUGAGAUUGCGACUUUUUAAGCUUGGUAUGAACUGGAUGCCA